rnacentral:lncRNA from 1 species
UACGACUGGAUUGAAGUUGCUAGCCUGAACGCAAAUUUCCUUGAGAUGGUUCAUUACCAAAAUCCUUAAGAGAUGUUUGAAGGUGGGUCAGUGAGUGGUGAUGAUGUUCAUGAGAAUUCCCACACAUUGGUAAUUUUUAUAUGGAGGUGCAGAGUGCCAGGAUCUCAAAUCUAGAGCAAUCUUGUGUCAGUGUUCACGUAUUGUGAUUAUCUAUGUGGCAUUGGGAUAGUAAGUUCCCCCGUCCAUACAAGGGCGCUAUUUACAAUAUGAGGGAACUUAUGAUUUAUAGGAGCUACAACUUAUGAUUUAUAAUGCUGCUCUUCCAUGGUUAUAUAUAAAAUAAAACAAAUUAAGUCUUUCCUUUCGGUUUUCAUCACAGUUCCUUUUCAUGAUUCUGUAGCACUGGAAUGAUUAGUUUGUUCUUCAGUAACUUCUUCUUCAGUAUCAUAGUUAGUAAACAUAUGAGGUUUGGCAAGUUAGUAUUUACCAUUGAUGCUUGAAAUAAAUAGCAUGACUGGUGUUGCACCAUGUGUGUGUAGGUUUUUCCUUUUAGUUUACUUAUAUAUGCCUCUCCUAUAUUCUAAAACAAAUUCGAACUGUUAGUAUUUACCUUAAUCUCUUCCACAUGGAAGAUAGGAAAACUACAUACGGAAGGAUGAGUUCUAUAGCGUAUCAGAUUCAGGCAUUUGCACUAUUUUCUUGAUUACCUCACUAUGAUUAUUGUUGUAGACUUUUAGUAUAUUCCUCACAGGCGAACCCGUAUUUUCUUCAAAUCUAUAGCACACAUCUUUUUGCUAUAGUCAUUUCGCCAUGGAUGCAACAGUCUAGGAAAACAAGAUACCUGUCUGUUUUCAUUCAUUUGCCUUUUUAUGUGAGAAGUGCCUCCAUGGGAUUAGCGACGUGUAUUUAUGCUUACCCCUUUUUAGUGUUUGGUGAAGCCGAUGGACUGUGAACAUUAUGUACCACAUAUUCUGGCCUUUUGCCUUUUUAUUACUUAUAAUAUGUCAUGACAAUUUAUUUUCCUGAGUCAUUUAGUCAAACUAGCCAGUCAAGGAUAGCCAAUGGUCUUUUGGCUAUUUGUUUGUUCAUUUAAUUCAACAUGCAUGUUUCUGGAGUAGUCUUGGCGCAAGACACAUAAUCAAAGUUGAUUUUCUUAUAAGCUGAUCAUCACAUAGCUAAUUGGUAGUUACACUAGCUGAGCUUGUCCUAUGCUCAUUGUACAGGAUAGAUAGUGUAUGUGAUCUUCUUGAUGAGGAGAAGUCUUUUUAGAGAUUCCAAUAUAAAUUACAUACGGAUGUAUAUAGACAUAUUUUAGAAUGUAGAUUCACUUAUUUUGUUCUGUAUGUAGUCCGCAUUGAAAUCUCUAAAAGGACAUAUUUAGGAACGGUGGGAGUUGGAUACGAUUAAGUAUUUAAAUUAGCCAUAUGAGCACUGUUUCUUUGAGUGCCACAAGGAUGUCAUCUUUAUUCACAUGUUAUGUGUUAUGUGUUAUGUCACAUCAACUUCUGCCCUUUUGUUUUCUGCAGAACACAACAACUGUUCGUCACCUAAAAGGACAGGAUGACACCAAAGGAGUUAUGAUAGUAGCACUUAUAGGCAUCGAGGAAUUGACAAAGAGAUUACGCUUCAUAGGUAUGAAGUUAGAACAACGGCUGGAAACUAUCAAAGGCCGUUUCUAAUUACCUUUGUUGGAUCUGUCUUACCUACAAUGCAUGUGUGACCCCUGGAGAAGCCACUUUUUGUUUCUUCUGCAGUAUACUCCAUGUUUAGUUCCAAUGAUGCCCUAACCCUUUUGUUCCUGCUCUGAAGAAUAAGACAUGUAUAGGCUUCAGAUUUUUGUAAUCAUCUAUGUGCUAAACAUCCCUUUGUGGUCAUGUGUUUUAUAUGUAAUCAAGUAUCUAUCCAUGAUGAUAUAUAUGCCCAGCUAAUGUUUGAAAAGAUCCAUCAUCUGUAUCACCACUGCUGGAUAACCGCUAUAAAUCUACUAGCAGUACCGGUCAUAUAAAAUAGCUACCGUUACUGAUGGAUAACCAUUAUAAAUAUAUCAG